AAAAGUAGUUGUAAGCUAUUUGAAACCGUUUAAAGUUACUGGUGUUACUAAAACCUUAAACCGGAUGGUUUGUUUGUGUGUUACUGGUGUUAAAUGGAAAGUGAGCCCAAAUGUGAGUUCAAAGCUGUUUCAGCCGGGAAUUGUACUGAAUGUCCGAGACGCCAUUAUCGUUUGUGUAUGGAGCUAGAGUUAGCCUCGUCCCGGCUAGCUGGAAGGAGACCACGUGUGGGAGGGAGAAAUAUUUUGCGCCGUGUUUCCUGAUGUGCCUGCCUCCGUGCCUUCGGACCUACAUGCCUGCCGCUGGUCUGCUGCUGCUGUAGAGGGUGCUCAGGAUCCACACUGUCGCCAGAGAACCUGCUGCUUCAGGAGCACGUGUCAGCGGGACUAGUUUCUUCAUUUCCACUCACCUUACUCUUCUGAACCGAGAGUUUGAGAAAACUGUGGUUGUCCGUGUGUACUGAGAAACAUUUUCACAAGGAUACAUGAGCUCCAACUUAACAUGCGCGCCAACGAUAUGGUACCAUAACUGACUUACAAAACCCCGGGUAUAUUUUUUUGUUUAUUUUAUUUCUAUGACUCAAAGGGUCACCAGGUCAAAAAAGUAAAGGGUGAUUGCCUGUAUUUUCUUUUGUGUAAUAAACAUUCUUGUUGUGUA